rnacentral:rRNA from 1 species
AGCUACCAUGCAAGUCGAACGGUAGCACAGAGGAGCUUGCUCCUUGGGUGACGAGUGGCGGACGGGUGAGUAAUGUCUGGGAAACUGCCCGAUGGAGGGGGAUAACUACUGGAAACGGUAGCUAAUACCGCAUAACGUCGCAAGACCAAAGAGGGGGACCUUCGGGCCUCUUGCCAUCGGAUGUGCCCAGAUGGGAUUAGCUAGUAGGUGGGGUAACGGCUCACCUAGGCGACGAUCCCUAGCUGGUCUGAGAGGAUGACCAGCCACACUGGAACUGAGACACGGUCCAGACUCCUACGGGAGGCAGCAGUGGGGAAUAUUGCACAAUGGGCGCAAGCCUGAUGCAGCCAUGCCGCGUGUAUGAAGAAGGCCUUCGGGUUGUAAAGUACUUUCAGCGAGGAGGAAGGCGUUGUGGUUAAUAACCGCAGCGAUUGACGUUACUCGCAGAAGAAGCACCGGCUAACUCCGUGCCAGCAGCCGCGGUAAUACGGAGGGUGCAAGCGUUAAUCGGAAUUACUGGGCGUAAAGCGCACGCAGGCGGUCUGUCAAGUCGGAUGUGAAAUCCCCGGGCUCAACCUGGGAACUGCAUCCGAAACUGGCAGGCUAGAGUCUUGUAGAGGGGGGUAGAAUUCCAGGUGUAGCGGUGAAAUGCGUAGAGAUCUGGAGGAAU